AGUGAAGUGGCUGAAAUUAAGGUGAUAGACUGUAAAUCUAUUUAUGAGAUUGAUGUCUCCUUUACUA
rnacentral:tRNA from 1 species